rnacentral:rRNA from 1 species
CCUACGGGCUGCACCAGUGGGGAAUAUUGCACAAUGGGCGCAAGCCUGAUGCAGCCAUGCCGCGUGUAUGAAGAAGGCCUUCGGGUUGUAAAGUACUUUCAGCGGGGAGGAAGGCGAUAAGGUUAAUAACCUUGUCGAUUGAUGUUACCCGCAGAAGAAGCGCCGGCUAACUCCGUGCCAGCAGCCGCGGUAAUACGGAGGGUGCAAGCGUUAAUCGGAAUUACUGGGCGUAAAGCGCACGCAGGCGGUCUGUCAAGUCGGAUGUGAAAUCCCCGGGCUCAACCUGGGAACUGCAUUCGAAACUGGCAGGCUAGAGUCUUGUAGAGGGGGGUAGAAUUCCAGGUGUAGCGGUGAAAUGCGUAGAGAUCUGGAGGAAUACCGGUGGCGAAGGCGGCCCCCUGGACAAAGACUGACGCUCAGGUGCGAAAGCGUGGGGAGCAAACAGGAUUAGAUACCCGUGUAGUC